rnacentral:rRNA from 1 species
AUUGAACGCUGGCGGCAUGCCUUACACAUGCAAGUCGAACGGCAGCACGGGAGCAAUCCUGGUGGCGUGUGGCGAACGGGUGAGUAAAGUAUCGGAACGUGCCCAGUCGUGGGGGAUAACGUAGCGAAAGUUACGCUAAUACCGCAUACGAACUAUGGAUGAAAGCGGGGGCUCGGAAGACCUCGCGCGAUUGGAGUGGCCGAUAUCAAAUGAGGUAGGUGGUGGGGUAAGGGCCCACCAAGCCGACGAUCUGUAGCGGGUCUGAGAGGACGACCAGCCACACUGGGCCUGAGACACGGCCCAGACGCCUACGCGAGGCAGCGGUGGGGAAGUUUGUACAGUGGGCGGAAGCCUGAUCCAGCCAUGCCGCGUGCCGUAUGAAGGCCUUCGGGUUGUAAACUGCUUUUGUACGGAACGAAAAGGUUUGACUUAAUACGUUGGACUCAUGACGGUACCGUAAGAAUAAGCACCGGCUAACUACGUGCCAGCCGCCGCCGUAA